GACGAACGCUGGCGGCGUGCUUAACACAUGCAAGUCGAACGGAAAGGCCCUGCUUUUGUGGGGUGCUCGAGUGGCGAACGGGUGAGUAACACGUGAGUAACCUGCCCUUGACUUUGGGAUAACUUCAGGAAACUGGGGCUAAUACCGGAUAGGAGCUCCUGCUGCAUGGUGGGGGUUGGAAAGUUUCGGCGGUUGGGGAUGGGCUCGCGGCUUAUCAGCUAGUUGGUGGGGUAGUGGCUUACCAAGGCUUUGACGGGUAGCCGGCCCGAGAGGGUGACCGGCCACAUUGGGACUGAGAUACGGCCCAGACUCCUACGGGAGGCAGCAGUGGGGAAUAUUGCACAAUGGGCGGAAGCCUGAUGCAGCAACGCCGCGUGCGGGAUGACGGCCUUCGGGUUGUAAACCGCUUUCGCCUGUGACGAAGCGUGAGUGACGGUAAUGGGUAAAGAAGCACCGGCUAACUACGUG
rnacentral:rRNA from 1 species